rnacentral:rRNA from 1 species
AUACGUAGGUGACAAGCGUUAUCCGGAUUUACUGGGCGUAAAGGGCGUGUAGGCGGUCUUGCAAGUCAGAAGUGAAAUUCCUGAGCUCAACUCGGGCGCUGCUUCUGAAACUGCAGGACUUGAGUGCUGGAGGGGAGAGCGGAAUUCCUAGUGGAGCGGUAAAAUGCGCAGAUAUUAGGAAGAACACCGGUGGCGAAGGCGACUUUCUGGACAGUAACUGGCGCUGAGGCGCGAAAGCGUGGGGAGCAAACAGGAUUAGAUCCCCUGGUAGUCCACGCCGUAAACGAUGAAUACUAGGUGUAGGGGGUAUCGACUCCCUCUGUGCCGCAGUUAACACAAUAAGUAUUCCGCCUGGGGAGUACGGCCGCAAGGUUGAAACUCAAAUGAAUUGACGGGG